rnacentral:rRNA from 1 species
UACGAAGGGGGCGAGCGUUGUUCGGAUUUACUGGGCGUAAAGGGCGCGCAGGCGGCUUAUUUUGUCAGGCGUGAAAGCCCCGGGCUUAACCUGGGAACUGCGUUUGAUACGGAUGGGCUAGAGUUCGGGAGAGGAGAGUGGAAUUCCCAGUGUAGAGGUGAGAUUCGUAGAUAUUGGGAAGAACACCGGUGGCGAAGGCGGCUCUCUGGACCGAGACUGACGCUGAGGCGCGAAAGCGUGGGGAGCAAACAGG